UGGGGAAUAUUGGACAAUGGGCGAAAGCCUGAUCCAGCCAUGCCGCGUGUGUGAAGAAGGUCUUCGGAUUGUAAAGCACUCUAAGUUGGGAGGAAGGGCAGUAAGCGAAUACCUUGCUGUUUUGACGUUACCGACAGAAUAAGCACUGGCUCACUCUGUGCCAGCAGCCGCGGUAAUACAGAGGGUGCAAGCGUUAAUCGGAAUUACUGGGCGUAAAGCGCGCGUUGGUGGUUCGUUAAGUUGAAUGUGAAAGCCCCGGGCUCAACCUGGGAACUGCAUCCACAACUGGCGAGCUAGAGUAGGGCAGAGGGGGGUGGAAUUUCCUGUGUAGCGGUGAAAUGCGUAGAUAUAGGAAGGAAAACCAGUGGCGAAGGCGACCACCUGGGCUCAUACUGACACUGAGGUGCGAGAGCGUGGGGAGCAAACAGG
rnacentral:rRNA from 1 species